rnacentral:rRNA from 2 species
AUUCGUCACACUAUCAUUAACUGAAUCCAUAGGUUAAUGAGGCGAACCGGGGGAACUGAAACAUCUAAGUACCCCGAGGAAAAGAAAUCAACCGAGAUUCCCCCAGUAGCGGCGAGCGAACGGGGAGCAGCCCAGAGCCUGAAUCAGUGUGUGUGUUAGUGGAAGCGUCUGGAAAGGCGCGCGAUACAGGGUGACAGCCCCGUACACAAAAAUGCACAUACUGUGAGCUCGAUGAGUAGGGCGGGACACGUGGUA